rnacentral:rRNA from 1 species
GAUGAACGCUGGCGGCGUGCCUAAUACAUGCAAGUCGAGCGAACGGACGAGAAGCUUGCUUCUCUGAUGUUAGCGGCGGACGGGUGAGUAACACGUGGAUAACCUACCUAUAAGACUGGGAUAACUUCGGGAAACCGGAGCUAAUACCGGAUAAUAUUUUGAGCCGCAUGGUUCAAAAGUGAAAGACGGUCUUGCUGUCACUUAUAGAUGGAUCCGCGCUGCAUUAGCUAGUUGGUAAGGUAACGGCUUACCAAGGCAACGAUGCAUAGCCGACCUGAGAGGGUGAUCGGCCACACUGGAACUGAGACACGGUCCAGACUCCUACGGGAGGCAGCAGUAGGGAAUCUUCCGCAAUGGGCGAAAGCCUGACGGAGCAACGCCGCGUGAGUGAUGAAGGUCUUCGGAUCGUAAAACUCUGUUAUUAGGGAAGAACAUAUGUGUAAGUAACUGUGCACAUCUUGACGGUACCUAAUCAGAAAGCCACGGCUAACUACGUGCCAGCAGCCGCGGUAAUACGUAGGUGGCAAGCGUUAUCCGGAAUUAUUGGGCGUAAAGCGCGCGUAGGCGGUUUUUUAAGUCUGAUGUGAAAGCCCACGGCUCAACCGUGGAGGGUCAUUGGAAACUGGAAAACUUGAGUGCAGAAGAGGAAAGUGGAAUUCCAUGUGUAGCGGUGAAAUGCGCAGAGAUAUGGAGGAACACCAGUGGCGAAGGCGACUUUCUGGUCUGUAACUGACGCUGAUGUGCGAAAGCGUGGGGAUCAAACAGGAUUAGAUACCCUGGUAGUCCACGCCGUAAACGAUGAGUGCUAAGUGUUAGGGGGUUUCCGCCCCUUAGUGCUGCAGCUAACGCAUUAAGCACUCCGCCUGGGGAGUACGACCGCAAGGUUGAAACUCAAAGGAAUUGACGGGGACCCGCACAAGCGGUGGAGCAUGUGGUUUAAUUCGAAGCAACGCGAAGAACCUUACCAAAUCUUGACAUCCUUUGACAACUCUAGAGAUAGAGCCUUCCCCUUCGGGGGGGCAAAGUGACAGGUGGUGCAUGGUUGUCGUCAGCUCGUGUCGUGAGAUGUUGGGUUAAGUCCCGCAACGAGCGCAACCCUUAAGCUUAGUUGCCAUCAUUAAGUUGGGCACUCUAAGUUGACUGCCGGUGACAAACCGGAGGAAGGUGGGGAUGACGUCAAAUCAUCAUGCCCCUUAUGAUUUGGGCUACACACGUGCUACAAUGGACAAUACAAAGGGCAGCGAAACCGCGAGGUCAAGCAAAUCCCAUAAAGUUGUUCUCAGUUCGGAUUGUAGUCUGCAACUCGACUACAUGAAGCUGGAAUCGCUAGUAAUCGUAGAUCAGCAUGCUACGGUGAAUACGUUCCCGGGUCU